rnacentral:tRNA from 1 species
GCCCCCGUCGUCUAAUGGUUAUGACGCCAGACUUCUAAUCUGGCGGUUGUGAGUUCGAGUCUCACCUGGGGUU